rnacentral:lncRNA from 1 species
AGCUUAUUUCACACGAACGCUGGUGGAUUCUUACUGUCAGGAAGGCCAAGAUCAUAUGAGUUUUGUAUGUGAAGUUGUAGAAAACAAUGUACCAGGAGUGUGGUAAAAAAAUAACAAAGAAAUUAGGAGAUCAGAGAAACAUUCCAUUGAGGUGACAGGAAAACAACACAAACUGACAAUAAACAACGUUGACAUCACCGACGAAUCAAAGUAUUCACUUAAAGUUAACAGUAGGCACAGACACGCCUUAUUGCAUGUUACUUGUAAGUAAAAUACACUUAUAAUGUAAAUAAGGUCCGUGAAAUGGAUAACACACAAUACUUUGAAACAAACAAAUGAUCCAAAAUGAAAUUAAAAUACCCCCCCAAAAAAAAAAACAACAACAACAAAACAAACAAAACAACAAACCCCAAACAAACAAACAACAACAAAAAAACAAAAACAAAAAAAACAUUCUCACACCACUAACAACUGUUAGAGGUUACUGACGGGUUAAACAUGUAUUGUUAUAUCUCAACUCUGCCCUAUAUCUCUAGCCAAUUUGGAAUAAAUAAAC